rnacentral:tRNA from 1 species
CGGGGACGUGCGGAAGGGCCGGCGGCCGUCGUGGUCCGCCGCCGCACCGGGGCCGGUGAGCGAGCCGCUGUUCGACGCGUUCGUCGCCGC